CAGUGAGGGAAUAAUAAUUAAUAUACAUUUUAGAUAUUCUUGAUAUUUAUAGUUCGCAAGAUCAUUUAUCUUGAUAUACAUAUACAUAUACAUACUAAACUUAUCAUAUACAUAUCAUAUACAUACUAAACGUAUCAUCAUAACGUAGUGGACUAUAUGUCAGAGAUCAGAUGACACCCGAAGGUGACCAGAUGACACCCGAAGGUGACCAGACCAGAUGACACCCGAAGGUGACCACUGUGGGAUGAUCAGUCGCCACAGGCUGAUGCCUCUCUCACCAGCUAGGUAUACAUACAGAAUACUAUGUGCACACAGGCUAACUACUCUCCGUUAGCAUGGAGUUACUGACAAGUCCCAUAUCAAGGCAUAAUAGAUAUUCACAUAAUCAUCAAGAAACGUAUAUCAUAUCAAAUAGGAUUUACUUUGACAGAUUGCGAGUGCAAAUUCAAGAAUAAAUGAGUACUCGGAAAAUAAGCAACAUAUAUAAUUAUUCAAGGAAUUAACGAGUUGUACUCAUUGUAUAAUCAACAUACAUAUUUACUUAUCAUAUAUGCAUAUUAAAGAUUAUUCCACUCACCCGGAAAAUAUAGAACUAAAAGGAAUGUCAGACGAAAGACCCGAAAAUCCUAUUGAGGAUCGUUAGGAGAACCUACAACAAUACGAAAAUAUACUCAAAAGCAACUCAAACAAGAGAUCCCAAUGCAUAAAAGAAAACCAGGUUUAGUCUCCUAAGUUUAUGGACUAAAACGAUAAUUUUCCAAAACAGGGACCAAAACGUAAUUUUACCAAAAUUGGACCAAUCUGGAAAAUACAUAACUAUACUGAAUUUUCACCCAUAAACCAUCCUUAAUUCUGUCUAGAACGAACCAGGGACCGAACUGUAAUUUUCAUAAAGUUCAGGGACUAAAAUGUAAAUUCCCGAAAUUGAGGGACCAAACUGAAAAUAUUCCAAAUCAAUUAUCAAACUCAGAUUCAUCAUCCUUAACCUCAUAAUAACACUGUCCAGAAUCUCAAAAUACAAUUAGGGGUCAAAUUAUAAUUUUACCAAAGUUUAGGGACUAAAUUGUAAUUUCACAAAUUGAGGGACCAAAUUGAAUUUUCGUCAUCUUCAACCUCAAACCCAGAAUUUCACAGAUUACCUACUGUCAUCUUCUGAUUUCUAACACAAUUUCACCAUUCAAACAAAAUCAUAACUCAAAAUCAUCAUCUUUACCUCCAAUCUCUCACAAUCAACUAAUUAACCAAUUACCCACAACAAUCAACCCAUAACCUUCCAAUUAAUUCAUCAAUCAAACUCAAAACACAAUAUUCAAAACCCUAACAUUUAUCAAAACAGAACUUAAAGCUUAAAGAACACACAUUUAUACAUAAUCUUACCUUUAAACUUAUUUUCCUCUACUUCUCUCCCUUUUCCCUUCUCUUCCCCUCUUUUCUCUUCUUCUUCUUCCUCCUCCCUUCUCUCUCACGGUUUGCUCCUUCCAUUUUCAGAUCCCUCUUUCUUUCUUCUUCUUUCUUUUAUUUAUAUUUAUCAACUAUUGUUCAAUUACCACAAUACCCCUCAUUUAAUUAUACUUACUUCUAAGCCUCCAAGGGCUUGGUUGCCCUUUCCUACUAAUUUAUUUGCAAAACAUCACAAUCUCCCCACCUUAUAAAAGUUUCGUCCUCGAAACUUAAAAUUUAAGAACCAAAGUCUUACCAUCAUGAUCAAAUAAAUUAUUUAAAACUUAUCUCUAAAAUUGUAUUUCUUAAACUAUCAUUUAAAGUCCACUUAAAAAAAAAAUCAAUAUAUAGCACCAUGCUUUCGUUGCGCACUCUGAUAUAUCCACUGAAAAAAAUAUCUCAUGCAUAACUUUUCUUAAUUCAUAUCCCUCAAAAUCAAACAACACACCCUUCAAUUUCUCUUGAAUCAACUUUUCUCAAAUAACUUAUCUCAAAUCAUAUCUCUUCAAAAAUCAAAACGCAUCCUCAUAAUUUAUUUAUUUUUAAGCAUCAGGUAAAAGAAUUCAGCCUUAUAGUUGGGGAAUGUCAUGAAGUAACAGAGUCUAAUGAACAACAACAAUUAUGAGCUCAAACUUUCAAGAGGUAUCAAUCAUGGAGGAGAUUUCGCUUGCAAAAGCAAUAAGCGAUGAAGAUGAUAAGAUGUAUGUAGUUCUCUCAACCACCAUAACAACUAAAGAGUCAGAUGAAAUGAUAAAGACUAUAAAGGAGGAACAUAGUUGUUGUGACAAGAUUAAGGCAACAAUUAUGGUAAAGAUAACAAAAACCAGCUUGGAAGAAGCUUAGAUGGAUGAAAAGUUGUUAUAUGGUUUCAAUAUUACCUCAAAUGAUAGUGUUUCUCUUGAAAUUGAAGCAAAAACAUGUUUGAUAAGAAAAAAAAAAUCAAAGAUAACAUGGGACUUAAGAUACCCUACUUGAGAACUGAGGAUGCAUAGUAUAAGCAGUUUGGUGUGCUUCCGUCAUCACAUCUCUUUUCAAACCAUCCACCUCAGGCACACAUAACCUGGAACCAAAUCUCAACACACCAUCUUCAUGGAUAACAAAACCCGGAGCUCUCCCUAACUCCAACUCAUCUCUAAUCUUGCAAAGUCGCUCAUCCUUCAUUUGAGCUACUUUAAUUCGGUCUACCAAGUCUGACAUAGCCUGAAAGUGAGCCAACAAUGCUCCCGAUUCACAAAUCUCAAAACUGACCCUCUCAUCUAACAAUCAGUGUAACUCUUUAAUCAAAGGUCUCCUCACCUCCUGAAUAUGAGCCAAACUACCCAUAGAUUUUCUGCUUAAGGCAUCGGCAACAACAUUUGCCUUGCCCGGGUGAUAUUGAAUCGUGCAAUCAUAAUCACUUAACAAUUCCAUCCACCUUUUCUAUCUCAAAUUCAGAUCCUUAUGCUGGAAGAUAUAUUGAAGACUUUUAUGAUCUGAAAAUAUCUCACAUGUCUCCCCAUACAAGUAGUGUCUCUAAAUUUUAAGGGCAAACACUACUGCAACCAUCUCCAAAUCAUGUGUGGGGUAAUUUUGUUCGUGCUUCUUCAACUUUCUCGAGGCAUAAGCAAUCACAUUACCGUUCUGCAUCAAAACACAACCCAAACCAAUCCUGGAUGCAUCAUAGUACACGGUAAAACCACCAGACCCUGAAGAUACUGUUAAAAUAGGAGCUGUAAUUAACCUUUCCUUCAACUCCAGGAAACUCUUUUCACAUUCUUCUGACCAUUGAAACUUGACAUUUUUUUUUUUUUGUCAACUUAGUCAUUGGAGCAGCAAUUCAGGAAAAAUUCUCCACGAAUCUCCUGUAAUAUCAUGUUAAACCCAUAAAACUCCUAAUCUCAGAUAUUGUAACUGGUCUAGGCCACUGCUUAAUUGCCUCCACUUUUUGUGGAUCAACCUCUAUCCUAUUCUUGGACACUACAUGUCCCAGAAACCCAACAGUUUCUAACCAAAACUCACUCUUCAAGAAUUUUCCAUACAACUGAUGAUCUCUCAGAGUUUGAAGCACCAAUCUCAAAUGCUGCUCAUGCUCUUCUCUAGACCUCGAAUACACCAAAAUGUCAUCAAUGAACACAAUAACAAACUUAUCAAUAAACGGCCUAAAAACCCUGUUCAUCAUGUCCAUAAAAGCUGCAGGUGCAUUCGUUAACCCAAAAGACAACACUAGGAACUCGUAAUGCCCAUAACGAGUCCUAAAGGCAGUUUUAGGAACAUCCUCAUUCCUAAUCCUCAACUGGUGAUACCCCGAUCGCAAAUCAAUUUUUGAGAAACAUUGAGCUCUUUGUAAUUGAUCAAAAAGGUCAUCAAUGCGAGGGAGUGGGUAUUUAUUCUUAACAGUGACCUUGUUCAACUGCCUAUAGUCUAUACACAUCCUCAUUGAUCCAUCAUUGGGACCUCUAUGUUCACAUCAUGCACAUAAGCCAAAAACCCAUGCAUACCCUUCUGUACCAUCCUUCUCGUACCAUCCUUCUCGUGAUGGCCGGGAAAAUACUAGAUGGAGAUGAUACUUUAUCUUCAUGAAAAGCAAAUUUGUAUCCUCAUUAGGUUUGAAAGCUAUUAUCUUAUUCCAACAAUCAACUGAGACAUGGUGUCUUGACAACUAAUCCAUACCUAAUAUCACAUAAAAUGCUCACUAUUUCUAAAAGUACCAAAUCACCCAAUUUUAGAUAAGUAUAUUAAUCAACAUAUAGAUCAUAAUCAAAAGCCUAUAAUAACAACCUUCAUAAGUAAUUCUCCAAUAACAGUCUCAUCAUCCAUAACUAAUUAAUCAUAUUUCAACUUUCUCCUGCAUUUAAAAUCUAUAUUUCUGAAAUAAAAAUAUUGCGGAAAGAGAUGAGCGUCCACGACUCAAAAAGUAAUCAAAAUAAACACACCCAGAAAAAUAUUAUCAAACACAAAUUUUUCAUUGAAUAUUGUCAACGAUAUAUAUAUCAUAGAAAAAGAUUAUUAGACAUAUUUUUCAGAAUACUUACCAAAGAUAACACAUAUAGAUAUAAAUAUGAUGUAAAAUCAGAUUUAAAUACAAAAAUACUAUAAGUUGUUCAAUUACUUAAAAGCACAUACUUACAUUCAAUAUACACUCACUAACAUGAUUUGCACAUAUACAUACUUUUAGAGCACUACAAAUCAGAAAAUCAGCUCAUUUACAUAUAUUAUAUAUACUUCCAAAAAAAAUAUAUUUAUACCAAAUACUUAUGCUUAAGUAUUUUCAAGAAAUAUUAUUACUCAAAUACACGUUUUAUGCAAAUACUUUCAAAGAUAUACUUAUAUCAAAUAUUCACACACACAAGUAUAUGCAAAACACGUAUACCACAUAUAUUAUAUCCAAGAAUAUACUUAUAUCAAAUAUUGUCAGCCAUGUAUGAAAAACACAUAUUAUACAUAGUAUAUCCAUUGAUAUAUUUAUAUCAACCAUUCACAUAAUAUAUAUUUCCCCACAUGUAUAUCAACACGGCAAUAAAAAAAAAAGUUCAAAGAAGACAAUGAGGAAUCACAAUAAGACAAGAAGGAUCCUAAGCUCCACAUAUUACAAGUUUUUUUUUUUUUAAAAAAAAGGACCAAGUUUUAACAAAACCAAGCUACAGGGAUUUAACAAGAACCUGGCUCUGAUACCACCUUUGUAACGACCCGAAUCCCGGGUCCAUGACCGGCAACGCAGGAGCGGUGCCGGAAGGACACCCCGCCCGCGCUAAGCCUCAAAACGAACAUAUCAAAAGAAUAAUUUAUUCAAAAAUACGCAGCAUUUCAUAAUCUUCAGAAAUAUUAUAUCCUUCAAAACUGAUGAAACCAAAAGAUAGUUUAAAACUCUUCAUCAGUAAUUAAAACAAAAACAAUAAUCCAUAAUACUCAUUACAUUGUCAAAAAUCCAAACUUAAUUAAAACAAGGUAAUAGUGGAGCGCCUAAGACAUCGAAUCAAACAGCCUUGAAAGAUAAGCAAGGCAUACCGACCCAAAACUGAAGAAGCAGGAACACUCAACAAGGUUCACCUGCUAUCAGAAACUAAGAACCUGAAAUAAUAUUAAGAAUGAGGGGUGAGUUCAACCAACUCAGUGAGGGAAUAAUAAUUAAUAUACAUUUUAGAUAUUCUUGAUAUUUAUAGUUCGCAAGAUCAUUUAUCUUGAUAUACAUAUACAUAUACAUACUAAACUUAUCAUAUACAUAUCAUAUACAUACUAAACGUAUCAUCAUAACGUAGUGGACUAUAUGUCAGAGAUCAGAUGACACCCGAAGGUGACCAGAUGACACCCGAAGGUGACCAGACCAGAUGACACCCGAAGGUGACCACUGUGGGAUGAUCAGUCGCCACAGGCUGAUGCCUCUCUCACCAGCUAGGUAUACAUACAGAAUACUAUGUGCACACAGGCUAACUACUCUCCGUUAGCAUGGAGUUACUGACAAGUCCCAUAUCAAGGCAUAAUAGAUAUUCACAUAAUCAUCAAGAAACGUAUAUCAUAUCAAAUAGGAUUUACUUUGACAGAUUGCGAGUGCAAAUUCAAGAAUAAAUGAGUACUCGGAAAAUAAGCAACAUAUAUAAUUAUUCAAGGAAUUAACGAGUUGUACUCAUUGUAUAAUCAACAUACAUAUUUACUUAUCAUAUAUGCAUAUUAAAGAUUAUUCCACUCACCCGG
rnacentral:lncRNA from 1 species